GUUUGACCCCCCGAAACUAGGCGAGCUACUUUUAAACAGCCUUACGAGCCAACCCAUCCCCGUAGCAGAGGGGCGGGAAGAUUUAAAAGUAGAGGCGACACACCUAUCGAGCCUAGAGAUAGCUGGUUAUUUAGGAAAAGGAUUCAAGUCCACCUUUAAGUUUUUCCUAGUACACUUAAACUUCAAACAAACUUAAAAGUCAUUCAAAUAAGGUACAGCCUAUUUGAACAAGGAAACAGCCUGCAGCAAGGGUAACGACCACUCCAUGUGACGAGGUAGGCCUAAGAGCAGCCAACCUUUAAAAAGCGUCCAAGCUUUACCACCAUUCAUCAUCAAUCCCACCAUCAACUCGCAACCCCAAACCACUACUAAAUAACCCCAUACCUGUAUGGGGAAUAUAAUGCUAGAACUAGUAACAAGAAGAAGAACUUCUCCUGAAUACAAACAUAGGCCACAAUGAACCAUUCACUGGCACUUACCGCUGCUAAGC
rnacentral:rRNA from 1 species